AUGUUGGCCCUAGCAACUUGGCCAAUUCUUGUGUGUCUCAUGGGCUUUUUCCAUGUCUUCCUUCAGGCAGACCACUGCAUACCUGGACUUCCCACCAUGAUCAACUCCCUGGGCCAUUUCUCCUCAGCAGCUUUUGACUCUGUUCUGCUGCUGAAACACAUAUAUGAAGAGUUUCUUCAUGCACUUUAUGUGCACUUGUCCUGGGAAAUUGUCGUUUGAGUCACAGUGGUUCUUCUCUAUAGAUGACUAUUUGGCUGGAAUUAGAAGGGAGCCUCCUGUGCACAUUUUCUUUGAUUAUAUUGAUCUAGAAAGUUCUUCAGUAAGCCUGGCUGAGUGAAACAUAAAGUCUGUCAAGACUUCUGGCUGAACAGUUUUAAGCUGUCUACUUCCUGAAAGCAAUACUGGAAUCAGAAGCCCUGCUGUGAUGGUGCAGUCUACUGGGUCACUUCUGUCUGGGUUGCAUGCUAAUCAACUCAACCUGAAAUGCUGAUGGUGUUAAAGUAUUCUGUACCAUUCAUAACGGUUAACUAAAAUGCAAACAUUUGAUUCAUGUCACACAAGAGAUUUGCCACCCAGGAAACUCAAAAUUAUGACUAAAAUAUCAGCCCAUCAUGUUCAUCUCAGACCCCUAGUACUUCAAACUCUAACACUGUAGGAGAAUGAGUUCAGCUUUCCCAAUGAUACCCGUGUCCUCUUUGUAAUGUGCAAUUAUUAUUUCACUAACACCUCUCAUUCUAUCUACGUCAAAACUUAGAGUGAAUCUAAUGAACAGAGACAAACUGAAAUGAUUGCCAGCAUCAAAGAGAAAAAUAUUUUAUGUUGUGUGUGAAGACAAUAAUGAGAGUUUAGUUUUGGUUUUCAUUUGCUUUCAUUUUGUCUUCUUGUAGAUUAAAAAUAGUCAAAGUAUGUUCUCAAGUUUUUAAUAAAAGGCUUUCAAGUAUUGAACA
rnacentral:lncRNA from 1 species